rnacentral:rRNA from 1 species
UGGGGAAUCUUGGACAAUGGGCGCAAGCCUGAUCCAGCCAUGCCGCGUGAGUGAAGAAGGCCUUCGGGUUGUAAAGCUCUUUUGUCAGGGACGAUAAUGACGGUACCUGAAGAAUAAGCCCCGGCAAACUUCGUGCCAGCAGCCGCGGUAAUACGAAGGGUGCGAGCGUUAAUCGGAAUUACUGGGCGUAAAGCGUGCGCAGGCGGCUUUGCAAGACAGAUGUGAAAUCCCCGGGCUCAACCUGGGAACUGCAUUUGUGACUGCAAGGCUAGAGUACGGUAGAGGGGGAUGGAAUUCCGCGUGUAGCAGUGAAAUGCGUAGAUAUGCGGAGGAACACCGAUGGCGAAGGCAAUCCCCUGGGCCUGUACUGACGCUCAUGCACGAAAGCGUGGGGAGCAAACAGGAUUAGAUACCCAUGUAGUCCCUGAGCGGGCUGGCAAGGCGCAU